GGGUUGUGAGGUUAAGUGACUAAGCGUACACGGUGGAUGCCCUGGCAGUCAGAGGCGAUGAAGGACGUGCUAAUCUGCGAUAAGCGUCGGUAAGGUGAUAUGAACCGUUAUAACCGGCGAUUUCCGAAUGGGGAAACCCAGUGUGUUUCGACACACUAUCAUUAACUGAAUCCAUAGGUUAAUGAGGCGAACCGGGGGAACUGAAACAUCUAAGUACCCCGAGGAAAAGAAAUCAACCGAGAUUCCCCCAGUAGCGGCGAGCGAACGGGGAGCAGCCCAGAGCCUGAAUCAGUGUGUGUGUUAGUGGAAGCGUCUGGAAAGGCGCGCGAUACAGGGUGACAGCCCCGUACACAAAAAUGCACAUACUGUGAGCUCGAUGAGUAGGGCGGGACACGUGGUAUCCUGUCUGAAUAUGGGGGGACCAUCCUCCAAGGCUAAAUACUCCUGACUGACCGAUAGUGAACCAGUACCGUGAGGGAAAGGCGAAAAGAACCCCGGCGAGGGGAGUGAAAAAGAACCUGAAACCGUGUACGUACAAGCAGUGGGAGCACGCUUAGGCGUGUGACUGCGUACCUUUUGUAUAAUGGGUCAGCGACUUAUAUUCUGUAGCAAGGUUAACCGAAUAGGGGAGCCGAAGGGAAACCGAGUCUUAACUGGGCGUUAAGUUGCAGGGUAUAGACCCGAAACCCGGUGAUCUAGCCAUGGGCAGGUUGAAGGUUGGGUAACACUAACUGGAGGACCGAACCGACUAAUGUUGAAAAAUUAGCGGAUGACUUGUGGCUGGGGGUGAAAGGCCAAUCAAACCGGGAGAUAGCUGGUUCUCCCCGAAAGCUAUUUAGGUAGCGCCUCGUGAAUUCAUCUCCGGGGGUAGAGCACUGUUUCGGCAAGGGGGUCAUCCCGACUUACCAACCCGAUGCAAACUGCGAAUACCGGAGAAUGUUAUCACGGGAGACACACGGCGGGUGCUAACGUCCGUCGUGAAGAGGGAAACAACCCAGACCGCCAGCUAAGGUCCCAAAGUCAUGGUUAAGUGGGAAACGAUGUGGGAAGGCCCAGACAGCCAGGAUGUUGGCUUAGAAGCAGCCAUCAUUUAAAGAAAGCGUAAUAGCUCACUGGUCGAGUCGGCCUGCGCGGAAGAUGUAACGGGGCUAAACCAUGCACCGAAGCUGCGGCAGCGACGCUGAUGCGUUGUUGGGUA
rnacentral:rRNA from 1 species